UCCCACCGCGCCUCACGCGGCGUUCAUCUCCCGGUCUCUUUCUAACCGUGUCCCAAUCCAAUUGCUUAAAAGCCACAGGACAAGGAGUAGGUCCGGGCAGUUAUGGACCAUUGAUGCAAAAGCCAAAUCAAGAAAAUGCGGUUAAAACUUAGGGUGAAGUCCGGAAUUUGGAGUCCGCUGAGGAGCUCCGUACCGAUUGAGGCUACAUGUCUGCAUAUAGUUGGAUGAUCCUUUUCCCCGCUGGCCCUCUUACUGUUCUCUUAUACUAACAGUUUCUGCCAAGAAGAGCAACCGUGUCGAUUCAAACCUGUCUCUCUAAACUUGUUGUCCGUUCAUUUCAAAGACCGUCGUUACCUACACUUGGCUCUUGCAGGUAAAGAAGCCGAUCAAGCAUUUUGAAACAUCAUGCCUCGGCUUUGGCAAAUUGUAUUGAAAAUAAUUCUAACAACCCCAGCUUUGGCACUUAGAAAAGCGUCGAGACGAUUUCAGCGGAUGAUUAUCCAAUAUGAGAUGGAAGGCCUGGCUCCCGAGUAUGUGCUGCCAGAAAAGCUUUACAAGUUCUAUUCAUGAAAUAUUAAGUCAAGAGAAAUCCUAAUCUUACAUAUAAAAUAAGGGAGUUUAGUCUAGCAAUAUUUGGAUGGUAAGUUAUUUGAGAUUAUUUGGAAUAUUUUUACUGUAUCACUUUUUGUGAUGUGAUAUAUGUGAGAUAAAAAAGUAAUUGGGAAAAUAAAAAGGUGUAUUGGAAAUUGUGAAGAUGGUGUAAGCAAAUAAAAUUACGGAUAUAGAAAGCUGUCCAAACUAACCCAAUGGUUUUGGUCCCCUAUGGACAAUUUUAUGAAUUCAAUUGUGUAUGCUAUUGGUCAAGGUUAGUUUCAACUCUGAUAAUGUGAGACAUAAUAUGGUCCAAAUAUUUUUUGUGACUAUGUUUACCUUAUAAGUCAAUUAUACCUUUUGUUUCUACUACACUCCCUACUGAUUGGGAUGAUAUUGAGUGGGUGGACAAUUUGUGAAUUCAAUUGUGUAAGCUACUGUUCAAGGUUAGUUUCAACUCUGAUAAUGUGAGACAUAAUAUGGUCCAAAUAUUUUUUGUGACUACGUUAACCUUAUAAGUCAAUUAUACCUUUUGUUUCUUCUACACUCUGUGCUGAUUGGGAUGAUAGUGAGUGGAUGGACAAUUUUGUGAAUUCAAUUGUGUAUGCUAUUGGUCAAGGUUAGUUUCAACUCUGAUCAUGUGAGACAGAAUAUGGUCCAAAUAUUUUUUGCGACUACGUUAAUCUUAUAAGUCAAUUAUACCUUUUGUUUCUUCUAUAAUCUGUACUUAUUGGGAUGAUAUUUGAGUCUUUGAUAAUUAUAUAUUAAGUUGAAUCUAGGCUCUCUUUCUGGUAUGUGUUAUCCAAGUUGGCUGCCCAUAGUUAUGUUAGUGGGCUAAAAUUUGGGUAAAUUCGAUUUUCAAAAAUUCAAUAGUCUAAAUUGUGCCACACCACUUCAUCAAAUAAUGUAGCAUAAUUUGAAUCAUUGAAUUUUUAAAAACCAGGUCUAUCCAAAUGUGAGCCCAUACAACGUACUUUUACCUUCAUCUUGUUAUUAUUUAGUUAUCCCGAGAAAAACUUAUUCUCUUAACUCAAAUCUCUCUAAAUACAUAACCAAUUAAUAAAUGCAUAAAAGCUCCAAGUUUCAAGUUAAUUUUCCUCAAUCCUUUGGAUUUGAACCUCCAAUGGUGUGCUUAAACCUAAUAUUUUUUACAACUGUUUAAUAGUUGCUUGAAGUAAUAUAGAUGGUUGAAUUGAUUUUUUUGUAUUAAAUUAAAAGUUUAGCAUGGAAAAGUCAGUACUUUGAACAUCUUAGUGAUUCAUUAUUAAAAAAAAAAUGGAUCUUAUCAUUAGUUACAUGUAUAAAUUGAACUUAUAUUCCUUAGUUUCCAAAAAAAAAAAAAAAGAGACUUAUACUCUUUAGAAUAGCUACUUGAGUGCAAUAAUUUAGUUUCAUGAAUUGUACUAUUUAAUGUGUAGCUAUGUUUGAUUGAUGAAUAGAUUUAAUACUUGAAGUUGCACUACUUUAACAUUGCUAAAUCAAUGAUCAUUAAUCUUAAUUGCUUUCAAUUCAAAAUUAAAUUACAUUAAUCGAAAUGGGAUAUGCACAAGUUUCUAUUUCUCUCAAACACGCGCACACACACAUUUCUUUCUCUCUAAAUGCACAAAUAAAUGUAAUUUUUCAAGACAUAAAUAUAUAGUAGUAUUUUUGCGAUAUUUCAAUUCAACACUGAGUUUGUUUGGACAAGCCAAAUUUGGUUUGCAAAAUUUGUUUUCACAAAUCCCAAUCACCUUUUUAUCUUCCCAAUCACCUUUUUAUCUCACAUACAUCACAUCACAAAAAGUGCUACAGUAAAUAUCUCAAAUAAAUCAUCCAAAUAAACUCUUAUCCAAACAAACUCACUAUAAUUCAGUUAGCUAUUAAACAGGUACUAUAUAACCUAAUCAAUUCAAUAACUUAAUAUACUAUCUUCCGCACUUCAUUUUAAUAUUUCAAAAUUCAGAUCUCUUAUCAAGCGGGCCCAGUGGUCUGAUGAUUGAAGCUGUCCUUUCGAAACCGACAGAUUCGUAAUGAAAGCUCGAAAAAAUGAAUUAGCUCGCCCUCAAAUUAACAGUUUCUACAUUAAUGAAUUAACUCGUCAUGAUGUUCUUUUAUGCUUCAUCUUUGUUGUUCAUUUAACUUUUUUGUUUUUGUUAAAAAUUUUUAAUAUCGGUUUCAAUUAAAAAAUGUGGGAUGGACUAAAAUGGACGCGACAAGAAUUCAUAGGACCGGAUAAACCCGAAAUUUUGCGUAGAAUAAAGAAUCGGACUUUGCGGAUCAGAAAAAAUUAGAGGACAUUACGAGAGAUUAAGAAAACUUGAAUAUAUUAGGAAUCACUACCUUUUUGUUUCCCUCCUUUAUAUUUGAGUGGGAGGAAGUUCACCAACUCAUCAUUGUAAAUGCAGAUAAGCCAAGAGGCACGACAGGGACGAGCCCUUUAAUACUGUCCACAUAAAAAAAAUAAUAAUACUGCGCACACGGGAAACUGGUCUAUUUCAUAAAUAAAAUCGCUAUCCAAAUUAUUAUAUUGUUGUGCUACAUUAUUGGUGCUGUUAGUGUAUGGUGCAGAUGAAAUCCGGGCUUUGAAGUCCACUCAGAGGCCUAUAAAAGGCACUCCGGUCCGAAGCACAGUUUAGGCGCACAGCAAAAGUUCAGCUGUGAGUUGUAUUGCAUUCUACAUUUUGGACUUCAUCAUUGAGUCCUUAUAACUGGAGUAAAGGAGGGGGGAUCAAGAAUUCUGAGACAUGAUUGAUUGGAUUUGGAUCCUGAUGUUACAAAUCAUUCUUCUGCCAGCCCAGGUGUGCAGAAAAGUGUGGAAUCAUCUUCGGCUGGAAACCAUGAAAUAUGAGAUGCGUGAUCUGAACCAGCAGUAUGUUCUUCCGGACAAUGUAUUACAGAGGUUGUAUUCAUAUGAUUAGUAUAGUUAAGUAACUAAGGAUUUAGACUUUUGUCCGGUACACCAAACGGAAAAGUUGUAAACGUUAUCUCUACUCAUCCCUAGGAAAAAGAAGGGGGAGUGGGAUUUAUGAAUACUGAUUCAUGGUCCCUUAUUAUGUCCCGGCUUCCGAGUGUUAUUUGACAUUAGGACCCUCUGUUCCUUCUAUGUAUGCCCUUGUUCACAAUGAAAUAAAUUACACACGAUUUCCUUGUAGCUGAUUGGAAAGCUCGUCUUUUCCUUCUUUAAUAAAGCUAAUCAAAGGCUUUGGGCUGGUC